rnacentral:rRNA from 1 species
AGUGAACGCUGGCGGUAGGCCUAACACAUGCAAGUCGAACGGCAGCACAGUAAGAGCUUGCUCUUACGGGUGGCGAGUGGCGGACGGGUGAGGAAUACAUCGGAAUCUACUUUUUCGUGGGGGAUAACGUAGGGAAACUUACGCUAAUACCGCAUACGACCUACGGGUGAAAGCAGGGGAUCUUCGGACCUUGCGCGAUUGAAUGAGCCGAUGUCGGAUUAGCUAGUUGGCGGGGUAAAGGCCCACCAAGGCGACGCUCCGUAGCUGGUCUGAGAGGAUGGACAGGCCACCUGGGAAGUGGAACACGGUCCGAACCCCUACGGGAGGAAGCAGGGGGGAAAUUUGGACACGGGGGGAAACCCUGCACCCGCAAUCCCGCGUGGGUAAAGAAGGCUUUGGGGUUGAAAAGCCCUUUUGUUGGGAAAAAAAAGCAGCAGGUUAAUACCCCGCUUUUCUGACGGUACCAAAAGAAAAAGCACCGGCUAACUUCGU